rnacentral:RNase_P_RNA from 1 species
UGUGCAAGUCGUCUUGUCGUCCCGAUAGCUAUUGGGAAGGAAAGUCCGGGCAACAUAGAGCGCCAUACUUCCUAACGGGAAGGAGGCUGACUGGUGACGGUCAGUUUACAGCCAGUGCCACAGAAAAUAUACCGCCCUCCAACAAGCUCAGGGCGAGCCCGAAGGGAGUCGAAGGGUAAGGGUGAAAAGGUGGAGUAAGAGCCCACCGCUCUGGCAGUGAUGUCAGGGGCAUGGCAAACCUUAUGGGUUGAAAGAUCAAAUAGGUUCCGCGUCGGAUUAAGUUCCGAGAAAAGUUGCUCGCUUUUAUGCGGAACGGGUAGAUCGAUGGACCCCGAUUGCAAAGUCGGGGCUAGAUAAAUGGCAAGAAACCAAUUCUGAAAAUAGAAGAGGAAACAGAACCCGGCUUAUAGACUUGCACUUUUU